AUUGAACGCUGGCGGCAUGCUUUACACAUGCAAGUCGAACGGUAACAGGCCGCAAGGUGCUGACGAGUGGCGAACGGGUGAGUAAUGCAUCGGAACGUGCCCAGUCGUGGGGGAUAACUACUCGAAAGAGUAGCUAAUACCGCAUACGAUCUAUGGAUGAAAGCGGGGGACCGUAAGGCCUCGCGCGAUUGGAGCGGCCGAUGUCAGAUUAGGUAGUUGGUGGGGUAAAGGCUCACCAAGCCAACGAUCUGUAGCUGGUCUGAGAGGACGACCAACCACACUGGGACUGAGACACGGCCCAGACUCCUACGGGAGGCAGCAGUGGGGAAUUUUUGACAAUGGGCGCAAGCCUGAUCCAGCAAUGCCGCGUGCAGGAAGAAGGCCUUCGGGUUGUAAACUGCUUUUGUACGGAACGAAACGGCUCUGGUUAAUACCCGGGGCUAAUGACGGUACCGUAAGAAUAAGCACCGGCUAACUACGUG
rnacentral:rRNA from 1 species